rnacentral:rRNA from 1 species
GUCUACAGCAUACCAUCCUGAAUACACCCGAUCUCGUCUGGUCUCAGAAGCUAAGCUGGGUUGGGCCUGGUUAGUACUUGGAUGGGAGAAAGAUCUUCAGAGGAGACUGCUCAGAGACAAGCAUUUGGAGACA